rnacentral:rRNA from 1 species
UAGGGAAUCUUCCACAAUGGGCGAAAGCCUGAUGGAGCAACGCCGCGUGAGCGAAGAAGGUUUUCGGAUCGUAAAGCUCUGUUGUAAGGGAAGAACAAGUGCAGUAGUAACUGACUGCACCUUGACGGUACCUUAUUAGAAAGCCACGGCUAACUACGUGCCAGCAGCCGCGGUAAUACGUAGGUGGCAAGCGUUGUCCGGAAUUAUUGGGCGUAAAGCGCGCGCAGGCGGUCCUUUAAGUCUGAUGUGAAAGCCCUCGGCUCAACCGAGGAGGGUCAUUGGAAACUGGAGGACUUGAGUGCAGAAGAGGAAAGCGGAAUUCCAAGUGUAGCGGUGAAAUGCGUAGAGAUUUGGAGGAACACCAGUGGCGAAGGCGGCUUUCUGGUCUGUAACUGACGCUGAGGCGCGAAAGCGUGGGGAGCAAACAGGAUUAGAUACCCUGGUAGUCCACGCCGUAAACGAUGAGUGCUAAGUGUUAGGGGGUUUCCACCCCUUAGUGCUGCAGCUAACGCAUUAAGCACUCCGCCUGGGGAGUACGGUCGCAAGACUGAAACUCAAAGGAAUUGACGGACUACGAGUA